rnacentral:lncRNA from 1 species
AUUGAUUAAAAAUCAAUUUCAAUAGUCUUAUUAUUAUUAUUAUAUAUUAUCAAUGUAAAAAACAAAAUGUAAUAAAAGAGAAUAAAUUAAUUUUCAUUAUUCGUUCUAUCUCCUCAUGCUCUUACAUUCUCACUCUCUCUCUUUGGUCUCCGGCCUCUCGUUGUUGGUCGCCAUCGCCAUCGCCUCCUCCGAUUGCCUCGCCUCGCCUCGGAGCCUUCGUAGAGAGCCAGAAGCAUCCUGCACCACGUCCCACCUGAGUGUGCGACUGCACGGCCCAACCUCCCCUCAUUGUCCCUAUUCCGCCUCCUCGAGCCUCCACCAUCCAUUAAUCCAUCCGACGACUAUGUAACAACAACAAUUGCCAACGCCCCCUACCCUAAGUUUUUUCAAUUCAAUGUUCUUUUCAAACCAAAAUCAAUCGAAUUCCAUCCACUAACUCC